UGGGUAGACAGACUGGCCCCAAAUGAAGUCCAGUCUUUAUGUUAAAAAGGUAAUAAUCAUCAUG
rnacentral:sRNA from 1 species